CCUGUUUUCAGUUUCCUGCCAUUCCUGUUGCAGCACAGCUCAAUUCUGCAGCAGGGAAUCCUUUUAGACAAGGGCGAUAAGAAUUGACUACUAUGGGUUAGCCUGACAUGCUUGUGUAAAGGCCUGGAUACUUUAUUCAUGUGAAUUCCAUCAGAUAUUCAGCACAGAUCAUGUACUCUUACAGAUGAAAACUGCAUAAGUGUUUGAAUAUGAGAACCAUGCCCUGGGAUCUUGUACCUGAAUUGCUGCGGAGACCAGCUUCAGGACAGCCUUGGCUGGGGAGCAGACUAAACCCCCCACAGUUCAGGAGGAAACAGUCAGAGACCUGCUACUCCAACUGGACUGCCACAAGUCCAUGGGACAGGAUGAGAUUCACCCGAGAGUGCGGAGGAAACUGGCAGAAGUGAUAGCCGAGCUGCUUUCCAUCAUCUAUCAGCGCUCCUUGUUGACGGGUGAGGUCCCAGAAGACUGGAGGCUUGCCAAUGUGACUCCCAUCUACAAGAAGGGCUGCAGGGAGGAUCCAGGGAACUACAGGCCUGUUAGCCUGACCUUGGUGCUGGGGAAGAUUAUGGAGCAGAUUGUCUUGAG
ensembl:lncRNA